ensembl:lncRNA
GUCAUUUAUGCCUUUAUCCAGAUACUGUCCAUCUAGAGAGGGAUAGACAGCCCCGACAACACCAGCUGGCUCCCCAUGUACUCCACUCCUGUAAUGUAGACGCAAGGAGUCAGGAAGCAGGUGCAGUUAGUGAGUUUAAUGAUAAUGAACAUGGAACGAUACAAAACAUGGAAACACAAACAAUACUACCUGAAGACUGACAAAACAGAGUGCAGGAUAAAUGUUAAGUAAUGAAGGUAAUAAUGAGGUCCAGGUGUGACUGAUGAUAGGGUACAGGUGUGCAUAAAGAUGGAUUGCUAGGACCGGUGGUUAGUAGAUCGGUGACGUCUAGCACCGGAGAGGGAGAGCGGGGGUAGACGUAACAACACCAGGAAAUAUAUGUCUACCAUCAAGCAUUAUUUUCUGGAAAAAAUAACAACACAUUAUAGACUCCCCUGCACAACCAUUUGUUGAAAUAUAUCAGCGCAAUGUUGAUGGGACACCUUUCACGUUGAUUAUAACCCACAGACCCCCAAGAUGAGUAUUAACCAUGCGCUAUCGCUCACAUAGGAUAAUGAAUUGUCUAAAGCCAAAUCUUUCUCUUAGUUACUCUUUCUCAUCAAUAUACAUUUUUUUGUAGUAGACACACUAGGAUUAUGAUUAUGGGCUAGAAUUUGGAUAGAUAUCUAGCCAGCUUGCCUAACAAUAGAACAUAAGUUAACCAAAUCCUCUAGCUACUUUAGUUAGUUAGCUAGCUAGCUAAGUUCAGGUUAACUGGGCAAGCCACCCCAUCAGCUUUGGGGGUAUAAAGCUAUAUCACAAUUGCUUGCACAGAGAGCAACUAUGGUAGCUUAACAACAAUACAUGGAUGUAGCUAUUAUUGUGUUUCACAGAAUUAGCUAUUCAAGUUAGCUAGUUAGAGUCGAGAGCUAGCUAGUUAGCUACUACCGAUGUUACAGCAACCCACAAUCAGAUGUAUUUUCCUGUUGCAAAAAGUUAGCUUUUUGGGUGGCAUAGACAGCUUUUAAAAGACUAGACAGUUUUUGCUAGGCCUUCAGACAGUGAGUGGAAUACAGUUAGAUUGAUAGCUAGCUUGCUUGGUUGCAGAUUAGUUAGACUAAUAACACAUUCAUGUUACCUAAAGUGAAAUGCAGCCAGACCUUCAUAGCAGUCCUGUCUCAAUGAACCCCAACAACACAACACUCAACCCUUAGCUACCCCUAGUAGCUAAAGCUAGAUAGCUAGCUAAAUUUCUUCUUGUUGGUUUAGCUUUCUGGCAGACUAAACACUUUGUGGCACCAAUUUAGAGGUUCUGAGUUGGAAUCCAUGCCACUACAAGUAUGGUGAGAAAUGCAUACAUUCUUUGGUGUUAAGAUGGUGUCUUCCCUAAGAAUGAGAUGGAGAAGCGGGGUCUAAACCCUUGGAUAGUGGUUUAGUUGUUGUUUUUUUUUACUCAGUCAUUUGUCCAGGGUCAGGAGGCCAUAGAUGUCCCCGUCUAUUUCAUGCCGCUCCGCAGCACCUGAUUGGCUGCGAUAAGCAUGACACUGAUGAUGAAAGCAAUGGCGAAAGCACAUAUCAGGCUCUUGCGUACACACGUCUGCUUGACUUGCUGCGUUGGACUAGCUGCUUGAUAAGGAAGGCCCCUGGCUUCUCUAUAUGGCUCUCCUCGGUCUUGAUGAUGUUCUCGAUGUCCUUCAUGGUCAGGUGGUCGCAGAACGUACGCACGCACAGGCAAACAGGAACUGUUGAUUUAUGUUUUUCACCCCAAUGGAUAUGGUUACGAUUUGGGAAUGGUAAGUUGAUCCUGGACUUUCUAGCCUGAGAGAACAGCACAACACUGCCCAUUGAUGCGUGUGACAUAUUGAAUGACUGUCUUGACUUGGGAACAUACACUUCCAGUACACACACUACAACGUGUGUGUUUGUUCUAGAUUGAACACAAAAACACUGCUUUAGGCAUAGACAUUGCCGAGGGAAGCCUGAAUCGGUCCCUAAAUAUUUGGUAAAUCCUAUUACUGUCCAUAUGGGAGGGUAAUUAUCUGGCAAACUGUCACAGAAUUAACACCUGAUUACAUCUACAUGGAUUUCACUUCCUUUGAUAAGUUGGGUCUAAAACCCUUGGAUGGGAAUGUGGACCAUAGAUCAUCAGUUUCAACUGUUCUGCCUAAUUAUUAUUCGACCAUGCUGGUCAUUUAUGAACAUUUGAACAUCUUGGCCAUGUUCUGUUAUAAUCUCCACCCGGCACAGCCAGAAGAGGACUGGCCACCCCACAUAUGCUCUCUCUAAUUCUCUCUUUCUUUCUCUCUCUCGGAGGACCUGAGCUCUAGGACCAUGCCCCAGAACUACCAGACAUGAUGACUCCUUGCUGUCCCCAGUCCAUCUGACCAUGCUGCUGCUCCAGUUUCAACUGUUCUGCCUUAUUAUUAUACGAACAUGCUGGUCAUUUAUGAACAUUUGAACAUCUUGGUCAUGUUCUGUUAUAAUCUCCACCCGGCACAGCCAGAAGAGGACUGGCCACCCCACAUAGCCUGGUUCCUCUCUAGGUUUCUUCCUAGGUUUUGGCCUUUCUAGGGAGUUUUUCCUAGCCACCGUGCUUCUACACCUGCAUUGCUUGCUGUUUGGGGUUUUAGGCUGGGUUUCUGUACAGCACUUUGAGAUAUCAGCUGAUGUACGAAGGGCUAUAUAAAUACAUUUGAUUUGAUUUGAUUUGAAAAUAAGCCUCUUUAACGGGGACACAUAACCAUUCACCCCCAGAUCAUUCCCCUACGAAAUGUUUUUGCAUUGCAACUGCAGUUAGAGUACAGUAAAACUGCAUUUAUUCUGCAAUUACUGUGUACAAAAUAUCAAAGUCGAAUGCAGUUACUGCAUUUUUGUAAGGGAUGGGCCUGCAUACACAAGCUUUAACUAAGUCACCAAGGCCCUUCAUAUCUCCCAAGUAGCCAACGACAUCAAAACAGCUGGAUGCCGAGGUUUGAUAUCCUUCAACAUUUUGACAAAUUGUAUCAAGAACAUAGCACAUGCCACAUACUGUAAAGUAACACCUCUCAGUCUAUUCCCAUGUCGGUUAUUUAUUUAUUUUACCUUUAUUUAACUAGGCAAGUCAGUUAAGAAAAAUUCUUAUUUUCAAUGACGGCCUAGGAACAGUGGGUUAACUGCCUGUUCAGGGGCAGAAUGACAGAUUUGUACCUUGUCAGCUUGGGGAUUUGAACGUGCAACCUUCCGGUUACUAGUCUAAUGCCCUAACCAUUAGGCUACCCGGUUAUGUAUGAGGGGAUGUUCUACUUUGUCUUACAGCAGCCUGACUUCCAUCAGAACCUUCAAAGAGACAGAUGAAGGUGAUAUGAAGCCUGGGGGAUUGGUGAUGAUACUAGGCUAGAAUCCAAAACAUCUCAGAUGAGGAACGAUGGCAACAGGCAUCAUAGUGAUCAGCUGGGAUCCACAGAUACAACAUGGACUGACAAUCAAAUGUGUGUGCCCACUAGUGAUACUGCAAUGUAAGCAUCAUCAAAGGGACAUACUAUCUAAAGUCUUCAACCACAUGUGACAGAUUGCACACCUGGGACCUAGAGACUCUGGAAAGCCAAGAGGCGACUUGAGAUGGAAUAUAAUAGCAAUCCAUAAAUCUACUGAACCCAAGAAAACACGUCAGUUUUGAAGUUGAGUUACUAUCUGAAAUGUCAUGUCAAAUAGCGCUUGUUCAUAGAGCUGGUCAUCAUUCAAAGACAGUGUUAUGAUUGUAGGUCUUAUGCAAUUUUCACUCAUCAAUAGUUGUGCAUUAAUAUACUUUAUUUAUGUGAAAUACCAUCCCACGACAGACAGACAUCUGGUGUGAUCAAUUAACAUAUGUCACAGGGGGCGGAAAAUAUACAGUAACAUGUUUUUGCAAGAUCCAGAAACAUUGAGUAUCAAAUUACAAUACAAUGAAUGGAACUAGAACAUUCAGUAGACUCAACAUUUAUACAUUACAACACGUUUUGUUUCACCUGUAAAAGAAAAUACAUUUUUGACUGGUUUCUAUUUCUGUACAGCUUUGCUUUGACAAUAAACUAUGUUUUGUUGACACUUUCUUUAAAAGUACAAUGCCAAAGUGUCUCAGAGCAUAAGGCAAAGUAACAGGUUGUCAAACAACCUUCUCCAGACCCUCGGUUUCAAAGGGCAACAUAUUAUCGUCUCAUUAGAAUAUGUAAAAAAUAAAGACAUUUAAUUAAGCAG